AGACUGGCCGGAUGCGAAAGAAGAGCAGCUUGCAGACCCGGUGGAAGAGAGUGAGGAGAGAACUGGAGGAAGAUACAUCAGAGGACUCUGACUUUCUUUGAGACAAGUAGACACUGGUUUGACAGACAGAGCAUCCGCAGGGGAGGAUACCGACAGCGAGGAUCUUCCCCUCCAGGGUCUCCGGGUUG